CGCGUGCGAUUUAAGGAUGAGAAGUGGGGGAUCGCAAGACCUCAUGCUCGUGGAGCGGCCGAUAUCUGAUUAGGUAGUUGGGAGGGUAAAAGCCUACCAAGGCAUCGAUCAGUAGCUGGUCUGAGAGGACGACCAGCCACACUGGAACUGAGACACGGGGCAGACUCCUACGGGAGGCAGCAGUGGGGAAUUUUGGACAAUGGGCGAAAG
rnacentral:rRNA from 1 species